GCUGUGGCUCAGUGGCAGAGCGCUUAUCUAGCAUAGGUGAGGCACUAGGUUCAAUCCUUAGCACUGCA
rnacentral:tRNA from 1 species